AGUGAACGCUGGCGGUAGGCCUAACACAUGCAAGUCGAACGGCAGCACAGUAAGAGCUUGCUCUUACGGGUGGCGAGUGGCGGACGGGUGAGGAAUACAUCGGAAUCUACUUUUUCGUGGGGGAUAACGUAGGGAAACUUACGCUAAUACCGCAUACGACCUACGGGUGAAAGCAGGGGAUCUUCGGACCUUGCGCGAUUGAAUGAGCCGAUGUCGGAUUAGCUAGUUGGCGGGGUAAAGGCCCACCAAGGCGACGAUCCGUAGCUGGUCUGAGAGGAUGAUCAGCCACACUGGAACUGAGACACGGUUCAGACUCCUACGGGAGGCAGCAGUGGGGAAUAUUGGACAAUGGGCGCAAGCCUUAUCCAGCCAUAACGCGUGGGGGAAGAAGGCCUUCGGGUUGUAAAGCCCUUUUGUUGGGAAAGAAAAGCAGCAGGUUAAUACCCCGCUGUUCUGACGGUACCCAAAGAAUAAGCACCGGCUAACUUCGUG
rnacentral:rRNA from 1 species